AGCAGCCGCGGUAAUUCCAGCUCCAAUAGCGUAUAUUAAAGUUGUUGCAGUUAAAAAGCUCGUAGUUGAAUUUCGGGAUCAAUAUAUCGGUCGUGCCUUCGGUACGUACUGGUAUCAUUGGUUUCUCCUUUCUGACGAACCAUGAUGUCAUUAAUUUGGUGUUAUGGGGAGUUAGGACUGUUACUUUGAAAAAAUUAGAGCGUUAAAGCAGGCUUUAGCUUGAAUACAUUAGCAUGGAAUAAUGAAAUAGGACGUUCGAACCUAUUUUGUUGGUUUCUAGGAUCAACGUAAUGAUUAAUAGGGAUAGUUGGGGGCAUUAGUAUUCAAUUGUCAGAGGUGAAAUUCUUGGAUUAUUGGAAAGACUAACUACUGCGAAAGCAUUUGCCAAGGAUGUUUUCAUUAAU
rnacentral:misc_RNA from 1 species